rnacentral:rRNA from 1 species
AUUGAACGCUGGCGGCAGGCCUAACACAUGCAAGUCGAACGAGUGGCGGACGGGUGAGUAAUGUCUCGGAAACUGCCCAAUAGAGGGGGAUAACUACUGGAAACGAUAGCUAAUACCGCAUACCAUCGGAGGUGCACAGAUCGGAUGAGCUAGUGGGUUGGGUAACGGCUCACCUAGGCGACGAUCCGUAGCUGGUCUGAGAGGACGACCAGCAACACUGUAACUGAGACACGGUCCAUACCCCGACGGGAGGCAGCAGUGGGGAAUUUGGCAAAAUGGGGGCAAGCCUGAUGCAGCCAUGCCGCGUGUAUGACGAAGGCCUUCGGGUUGUAAAGUACUUUCAGCGGGGAAGCGUUACUCGCAGAAGAAGCACCGGCUAACUCCGUGCCAGCCGCCGCGGUAAUUC